rnacentral:lncRNA from 1 species
GUGGAAUUGUCUGUAUAUCUCUUUCAGAGUAGUGUGUGUGCCUGUGUGUGUGCCUGUAUGUUCCUGUGUGUGAGUGUGCCUGUGUGUGCCUGUGUGUGAUCUUUUGCAACCUUUCGGUAGAAUUUAAAUGCACAAAACAAAGGCUCUAUUCUCCCCCAUUGUUCAUUAAUGCAGGUGACUGAGAGUUCGCCCACGUAAUCUACGGUGCUGGAGAGGUGGAUGAUUUCAAAGGGAGAGAGGAGGCUGCAUGCUGCACCAACUCAGGAGUCGACUCUUGUACCUGAGAGUGCUGUCUGAAAGCAUGUGAGUGGCCAAUAGGACGGAUGAUAGAAGUGGGUUACACACUCGCCGAUGAAUUCUCACAAGGCACCCGGACAUGCGUCCCCUGUAUCUGAGUCUUCCCUUCACGCGACUGACAGGGAUUUGGUCCUUGUCGGGUAUCUGGAGUAAAUCCUUUGCGUCUGACUCGUUAAAGAAAAAAUCUUCGUCCAGUACGAGGUACCCCUGCUCUUUGCUGUGUACUGAUCCUGUCAGCAGUAGCAGACCGAUGCCCACUGCUGAUAUCAGGGACAGCUUCAUGCUGGCUCACUGGACCACACUCCUCUUGUCUCCUAGCUCCUCUCCUCUCCUUCCCUCCCCCCUCUGCUCCCCUCCUUUUUUCUCUCCUCUACUCCUCAGAGGGUAGUCAUUGCUAGCAGGCUUGCUCAGCCACAGCUUUAUCCAUUGACACAACAGUGUUCACUGACUUUAAAAACCCCCUCGUGUUUUAAAAAUCCAUCCAAGCCUUCACUCCAACUGCCUUCAGGGUGUGUGGGAGAAUGAGAUAGAAAGUAAAACAAAAGCCUCAAGUGUGUCUCCCAUGUGUGAUGGAGGAGGAGAGAGGAGAUGUUGCCUGGAGCACUGGUCUAAGAUCAGCUGCAGCUGUGCUGCUGUCCUGGAGUGUAUGUCAUUUCCAGGCAGAAAGAUGGUUAAUAUUUCAACUUCAUGUUCCUCUGGAUGUGCUUAGUGAUGGAAACCACUGUACUCUCAGUCAAGGGUGAAGGGAGGGGGAGGGAGGAAAAAUGGGGAAGAGGGAGCAC